UACGUAGGGACGAGCGUUGUCCGGAAUUACUGGGCGUAAAGAGCUCGUAGGUGGUUUGUCGCGUCGUCUGUGAAAUUCCGGGGCUUAACUUCGGGCGUGCAGGCGAUACGGGCAAUACUUGAGUGCUGUAGGGGAGACUGGAAUUCCUGGUGUAGCGGUGGAAUGCGCAGAUAUCAGGAGGAACACCGAUGGCGAAGGCAGGUCUCUGGGCAGUAACUGACGCUCAUGCGCGAAAGCUGGGGUAGCGAACCGGAUUAGAUACCCGGGUAGU
rnacentral:rRNA from 1 species